CGUCGAUGACAUCUCGAUAUCCAAAAUUUAUUCUGACGAAGAUAGCACAGUGUUCCGUUACAGAACAUUCACAAAGGGGGUGAUGGGUCGUCUACGGAUUGUUAAGGGACAAAAGGGCACAGACGUGCUUUGUGAAACAAUAUCCAGACCACUGAGACGAUACAACAACAUCAUGAUUUGAAAAAAGACCACGAGCUAAGCAGUAUUCAUAGGAUUGAAGUUGGAAAAUUGAAACCGAG